rnacentral:rRNA from 1 species
UACGAAGGGGGCUAGCGUUGCUCGGAAUGACUGGGCGUAAAGGGCGCGUGGGCGGUUUGGCCAGUCAGAUGUGAAAUUCCUGGGCUCAACCUGGGGGCUGCAUUUGAUACGUUCGGACUAGAGUGAGGAAGAGGGUCGUGGAAUUCCCAGUGUAGAGGUGAAAUUCGUAGAUAUUGGGAAGAACACCGGUGGCGAAGGCGGCGACCUGGUCCUUGACUGACGCUGAGGCGCGAAAGCGUGGGGAGCAAACAGG